AUUGAACGCUGGCGGCAGGCCUAACACAUGCAAGUCGGGCGCGCGGCGGACGGGUGAGUAAUGUCUGGGGAUCUGCCUGUUGGAGGGGGAUAACUACUGGAAACGGUAGCUAAUACCGCAUCCCCUCAGAUGCACCCAUAGGGGAUUAGCUUGUAGGUGAGGUAACGGCUCACCUAGGCGACGAUCCCUAGCUGAUCUGAGGGGAUGAUCAGCCGCACGGGGACUAAGACACGGCCCAGACACCUACGUGAGGCAGAAGGGUGGAAUAUUGCACAAGGGGCGCAAGCCUGAUGGAGCCAUGCCGCGUGUAUGAAGAAUGCCUUCGGGUUGUAAAGUACUUUCAGUCGGGAGGCGUGACCGACAGAAGAAGCACCGGCUAACUCCGUGCCAGCCGCCGCGGUAAUUC
rnacentral:rRNA from 1 species